rnacentral:rRNA from 1 species
GAUGAACGCUGGCGGCGUGCCUAAUACAUGCAAGUCGAGCGAACGGACGAGAAGCUUGCUUCUCUGAUGUUAGCGGCGGACGGGUGAGUAACACGUGGAUAACCUACCUAUAAGACUGGGAUAACUUCGGGAAACCGGAGCUAAUACCGGAUAAUAUUUUGAACCGCAUGGUUCAAAAGUGAAAGACGGUCUUGCUGUCACUUAUAGAUGGAUCCGCGCUGCAUUAGUUAGUUGGAAGGUAACGGCUUACCAAGGCAACGAUGCAUAGCCGACCUGAGAGGGUGAUCGGCCACACUGGAACUGAGACACGGUCCAGACUCCUACGGGAGGCAGCAGUAGGGAAUCUUCCGCAAUGGGCGAAAGCCUGACGGAUCAACGCCGCGUGAGUGAUGAAGGUCUUCGGAUCGUAAAACUCUGUUAUUAGGGAAGAACAUAUGUGUAAGUAACUGUGCACAUCUUGACGGUACCUAAUCAGAAAGCCACGGCUAACUACGUG